rnacentral:tRNA from 1 species
AUCAGUGUGGUGCAGUGGUUUGAGCGCUGGACUGGGACUCUGGGAGACCAGGGUUCGAAUCCCCACUUGGUCA